CCUACGGGUGGCUGCAGUGGGGGAUAUUGCACAAUGGGGGAAACCCUGAUGCAGCGACGCCGCGUGAGUGAUGAAGUAUUUCGGUAUGUAAAGCUCUAUCAGCAGGGAAGAAAAUGACAGUACCUGACCAAGAAGCCCCGGCUAACUACGUGCCAGCAGCCGCGGUAAUACGUAGGGGGCAAGCGUUACUCGGAUUUACUGGGCGUAAAGGGAGCGUAGGCGGGUAUGUAAGUCUGGAGUGAAAUCCCGGGGCCCAACCCCGGGACUGCAUUUGAAACUGUGUAACUGGAGUACAGGAGGGGCAGGCGGAAUUCCUGGUGUAGCGGUGAAAUGCGUAGAGAUCAGGAGGAACACCGGCGGCGAAGGCGGCCUGCUGGACUGAAACUGACGUUGAUGCGCGAAAGCGUGGGGAGCAAACAGGAUUAGAUACCCCAGUAGUC
rnacentral:rRNA from 1 species